rnacentral:rRNA from 1 species
UACGUAGGGUGCGAGCGUUGUCCGGAAUUACUGGGCGUAAAGAGCUCGUAGGUGGUUUGUCGCGUUGUUCGUGAAAACCGGGGGCUUAACCCUCGGCGUGCGGGCGAUACGGGCAGACUUGAGUACUGCAGGGGAGACCGGAAUUCCUGGUGUAGCGGUGAAAUGCGCAGAUAUCAGGAGGAACACCGGUGGCGAAGGCGGAUCUCUGGGCCGAUACUGACGCUGAGGAGCGAAAGCCAGGGGAGCAAACGGG